rnacentral:rRNA from 1 species
AGAAUCAACGCUGGCGGCGUGCCUAACACAUGCAAGUCGAACGAGAAAGUGGAGCAAUCCAUGAGUAAAGUGGCGCACGGGUGAGUAACACGUGACUAACCUACCCUUGAGUGGGGGAUAACCUAGAGAAAUCUGGGCUAAUACCGCAUAAUACCUUCGGGUCAAAGGAGCAAUUCGCUUAAGGAGGGGGUCGCGGCCGAUUAGUUAGUUGGCGGGGUAAUGGCCCACCAAGACUGUGAUCGGUAUCCGGCCUGAGAGGGCGCACGGACACACUGGAACUGAAACACGGUCCAGACUCCUACGGGAGGCAGCAGUGGGGAAUUUGCGCAAUGGGGGAAACCCUGACGCAGCAACGCCGCGUGGAGGAUGAAGCCCCGUUGGGGCCGUAAACUCCUUUCGAUCGGGAAGAUAAUGACGGUACCGAGAGAAGAAGCCCCGGCUAACUUCGUGCCAGCAGCCGC